UUUUGGACAAUGGGCGCAAGCCUGAUCCAGCCAUGCCGCGUGUCUGAAGAAGGCCUUCGGGUUGUAAAGGACUUUUGUCAGGGAAGAAAAGGCUGUUGCUAAUAUCAGCGGCUGAUGACGGUACCUGAAGAAUAAGCACCGGCUAACUACGUGCCAGCAGCCGCGGUAAUACGUAGGGUGCGAGCGUUAAUCGGAAUUACUGGGCGUAAAGCGGGCGCAGACGGUUACUUAAGCAGGAUGUGAAAUCCCCGGGCUCAACCCGGGAACUGCGUUCUGAACUGGGUGACUCGAGUGUGUCAGAGGGAGGUAGAAUUCCACGUGUAGCAGUGAAAUGCGUAGAGAUGUGGAGGAAUACCGAUGGCGAAGGCAGCCUCCUGGGAUAACACUGACGUUCAUGCCCGAAAGCGUGGGUAGCAAACAGGAUUAGAUACCCUGGUAGUCCACGCCCUAAACGAUGUCAAUUAGCUGUUGGGCAACUUGAUUGCUUAGUAGCGUAGCUAACGCGUGAAUUGACCGCCUGGGGAGUACGGUCGCAAGAUUAAAACUCAAAGGAAUGACGGG
rnacentral:rRNA from 1 species